UCGAGAAUCUUUCACAAUGGGGGAAACCCUGAUGGAGCGACGCCGCGUGGAGGAUGAAGGUCUUCGGAUUGUAAACUCCUGUCAUGAGAGAACAAGCAGACCCGGUCAACAGCCGGGCGAGCCGAUAGUAUCUCAAGAGGAAGGGACGGCUAACUUCGUGCCAGCAGCCGCGGUAAUACGAAGGUCCCAAGCGUUGUUCGGAAUCACUGGGCGUAAAGGGUGCGUAGGCGGCGCGAAAAGUCAGAUGUGAAAUCCCGGGGCUCAACCCCGGAAUUGCAUCCGAUACUCUCGCGCUCGAGGACUGGAGGGGAGUCUGGAAUUCACGGUGUAGCAGUGAAAUGCGUAGAUAUCGUGAGGAACACUAUUGGCGAAGGCGAGACUCUGGACAGUUCCUGACGCUGAGGCACGAAGGCCAGGGGAGCGAAGGG
rnacentral:rRNA from 1 species